GGGCCCGCACAAGCGGUGGAGCAUGUGGUUUAAUUCGAUGAUACGCGAGGAACCUUACCAGGGCUUAAAUGUAAGUUGCAUUAGUUAGAGAUAGCUAUUUCUUCGGACCACUUACAAGGUGCUGCAUGGUUGUCGUCAGCUCGUGCCGUGAGGUGUCAGGUUAAGUCCUAUAACGAGCGCAACCCCUGUUGUUAGUUGCCAGCGAGUCAUGUCGGGAACUCUAACAAGACUGCCGGUGCAAACCGUGAGGAAGGUGGGGAUGACGUCAAAUCAUCACGGCCCUUACGUCCUGGCUACACACGUGCUACAAUGGCAGUGACAGAGGGACGCUACCAGGUGACUGGAUGCA
rnacentral:rRNA from 1 species